AUGUCCUGCAUGCACGUACGUAUAAGGUCUAGGGUUUACCUUAUCACACCGAUCGACAUGUGUACGCGUGUAUCUAAGUCGAGAUGCAUGUGCUUACGCAUUGUGCUCGUUUCUGAAGAUUCUGGCACCCUCUUCGAGGUAGAGGUCGAUGAUCUCCUUGGCCGUGCAGAGCGGGCGGUUGUCCUUGUCGGGGCCGGCCAGCAUGGUGGUGACGAGGGCGCCUGUGCUGGUGCCGACGAUGUAGUCGAAGUAGUCGGCGAGCCUCGCCGUCGACGACCCCUCAAUCCUCUGGAGCUCGGCUUCGAGGUACUCCAGGAUCUUGGCCGGGAUGAGGCCGCGGAUGCCACCACCGUCGAUGCAGAGGAUCCUCAGCUCCCCAUCUUGCUUCGUUGCUGCAGCAGCAGGCGCCAUUUGGAUCGAUCGCUCAAGCUGUGCUAG
rnacentral:rRNA from 1 species